rnacentral:rRNA from 1 species
UACGUAGGGUGCGAGCGUUAAUCGGAAUUACUGGGCGUAAAGGGUGCGCAGGCGGCGUCGCAAGUCAGGCGUGAAAUCCCCGGGCUUAACCUGGGAAUGGCACUUGAAACUACGAUGCUGGAGUAUGGCAGAGGGAGGUGGAAUUCCACGUGUAGCGGUGAAAUGCGUAGAGAUGUGGAGGAACACCGAUGGCGAAGGCAGCCUCCUGGGCUAACACUGACGCUCAGGCACGAAAGCGUGGGGAGCAAACAGG